AUGGGGGGACCAUCCUCCAAGGCUAAAUACUCCUGACUGACCGAUAGUGAACCAGUACCGUGAGGGAAAGGCGAAAAGAACCCCGGCGAGGGGAGUGAAAAAGAACCUGAAACCGUGUACGUACAAGCAGUGGGAGCACAGGUUUACCUGUGUGACUGCGUACCUUUUGUAUAAUGGGUCAGCGACUUAUAUUCUGUAGCAAGGUUAACCGUAUAGGGGAGCCGUAGGGAAACCGAGUCUUAACCGGGCGUUAAGUUGCAGGGUAUAGACCCGAAACCCGGUGAUCUAGCCAUGGGCAGGUUGAAGGUUGGGUAACACUAACUGGAGGACCGAACCGACUAAUGUUGAAAAAUUAGCGGAUGACCUGUGGCUGGGGGUGAAAGGCCAAUCAAACCGGGAGAUAGCUGGUUCUCCCCGAAAGCUAUUUAGGUAGCGCCUCGUGAAUUCAUCUCCGGGGGUAGAGCACUGUUUCGGCUAGGGGGCCAUCCCGGCUUACCAACCCGAUGCAAACUGCGAAUACCGGAGAAUGUUAUCACGGGAGACACACGGCGGGUGCUAACGUCCGUCGUGAAGAGGGAAACAACCCAGACCGCCAGCUAAGGUCCCAAAGUCAUGGUUAAGUGGGAAACGAUGUGGGAAGGCCCAGACAGCCAGGAUGUUGGCUUAGAAGCAGCCAUCAUUUAAAGAAAGCGUAAUAGCUCACUGGUCGAGUCGGCCUGCGCGGAAGAUGUAACGGGGCUAAACCAU
rnacentral:rRNA from 1 species